GAUGAACGCUGGCGGCGUGCCUAAUACAUGCAAGUCGAGCGAAUGGAUUAAGAGCUUGCUCUUAUGAAGUUAGCGGCGGACGGGUGAGUAACACGUGGGUAACCUGCCCAUAAGACUGGAAUAACUCCGGGAAACCGGGGCUAAUACCGGAUAACAUUUUGAACCGCAUGGUUCGAAAUUGAAAGGCGGCUUCGGCUGUCACUUAUGGAUGGACCCGCGUAGCAUUAGCUAGUUGGUGAGGUAACGGAUCACCAAGGCAACGAUGCGUAGCCGACCUGAGAGGGUGAUCGGCCACACUGGGACUGGGACACGGCCCAGACUCCUACGGGAGGCAGCAGUAGGGAAUCUUCCGCAAUGGACGAAAGUCUGACGGAGCAACGCCGCGUGAGUGAUGAAGGCUUUCGGGUCGUGAAACUCUGUUGUUAGGGAAGAACAAGUGCUAGUUGAAUAAGCUGGCACCUUGACGGUACCUAACCAGAAAGCCACGGCUAACUACGUGCCAGCCGCCGCGGUAA
rnacentral:rRNA from 1 species